UACGGAGGGGGCUAGCGUUGUUCGGAAUUACUGGGCGUAAAGCGUACGUAGGCGGCUUUGUAAGUUAGAGGUGAAAGCCCGGGGCUCAACUCCGGAAUUGCCUUUAAAACUGCAUCGCUAGAAUUGUGGAGAGGUAAGUGGAAUUCCGAGUGUAGAGGUGAAAUUCGUAGAUAUUCGGAAGAACACCAGUGGCGAAGGCGACUUACUGGACAUAUAUUGACGCUGAGGUGCGAAAGCGUGGGGAGCAAACAGG
rnacentral:rRNA from 1 species